AUUGAACGCUGGCGGCAGGCCUAACACAUGCAAGUCGAGCGAGCGGCGGACGGGUGAGUAAUGUAUGGGGCCUGCCUGAUAGAGGGGGCUAACUACUGGAAACUGUGGCUAAUACCGCAUACUUUCGGAUAACCCAUAUGGGAUUAGCUAGUAGGGGGGGCAACGGCGCACCUAGGCGACGAUCUCUAGCUGGUCUGAGAGGAUGACCAGCCACACGGGGACUGAGACACGGCCCAGACUCCUACGGAGGCAGCAGGGGGGAAUAUGGGGCAAUGGGAGAAACCCUGAGGCAGCCAUGCCGCGUGGAUGAAGAAGGCCUUCGGGUUGUAAAGUACUUUCGGUAGCGAGGCGUUAACUACAGAAGAAGCACCGGCUAACUCCGUGCCAGCAGCCGCGGUAAUUC
rnacentral:rRNA from 1 species